GAAACUCUAGGAGACCUGAGAAUUCCUGAGGACGAUUCCUUUGAUAAGGACCAGAGUACUCACUUGCAAGGGAAUGGAGUCUCACGCCGCAGCUGUCUUGGGCCUGAUUCUAAUCAUUUUGAUCUGGUGAGGAUUCUUGUUGGCAACGUAAAUGCGAUUGAAGAAGGGCUGUAAUGCCAUGGUAGUGACAGCUGAAAUGCAUUUUCUCAUUUUGAUCUAAGUGAAUGUUCUCCAUAGUAUUGCUUGACGACCAUAUGCUUUUCUUUCUCAC
rnacentral:lncRNA from 1 species